rnacentral:rRNA from 1 species
AACGAACGCUGGCGGCAGGCCUAACACAUGCAAGUCGAACCGAAGUCUUCGGACUUAGUGGCGGACGGGUGAGUAACGCGUGGGAACGUGCCCUUUGCUUCGGAAUAGCCCCGGGAAACUGGGAGUAAUACCGGAUAAGCCCUACGGGGGAAAGAUUUAUCGGCGAAGGAUCGGCCCGCGUUGGAUUAGGUAGUUGGUGGGGUAAUGGCCUACCAAGCCGACGAUCCAUAGCUGGUUUGAGAGGAUGAUCAGCCACACUGGGACUGAGACACGGCCCAGACUCCUACGGGAGGCAGCAGUGGGGAAUCUUAGACAAUGGGGGAAACCCUGAUCUAGCCAUGCCGCGUGAUCGAUGAAGGCCUUAGGGUUGUAAAGAUCUUUCAGUGGGGAAGAUAAUGACUGUACCCACAGAAGAAGCCCCGGCUAACUCCGUG